UAUGGGUAUGUAAAUCCUCCUCAAUAAGUUAAAGCUUGACAUUUUAUUGUUACACUUGCUGUUCACAAAUUGCUAAUUACUUAUUGAGGAGGAUUUACAUACCCAUAGACAGCAAAGAAGGCUUGAAUAAAGGUGAGAAUAAGGAGAAUGAGAGCGGUUAAAGCUGACAUGAAUAUCCAAGGGCUGUCAAAGUAAGUGUACUUGAAUUUUGCCCAUCUAAUAUGCCAUUUGUCUCGAUGAUAUUCAUUCACAUCCUCGAACACCUUUGUUAGAUAAUUAUUUGAAAGUUUGAAAAUAAUAUCUUUGACAGCAUCAUUGAAGAAUUUAACAACUUCUUUGUCAGUUCCGAAGAAAUUCUGAAUAAUUCUUCGGUCUCGCAAAUACCCUGCAUCCGUAGGUGAGUUGAUGAGGCAACCCAUGAAAAUAACAUAGGAUGUAAAGUGGUAUGGGCAACGCUCAUGCUGAUAACAUUGUUCCAAUGCCACACAAUUCAGCAAGAAAGGGCCAAUGGAGUCAUCUAAUGCCAAUUGUGGGAUUAUGAGCACUCCAUGGUCACGUCUAAAUUUAAUGUCCAAGAAGGUCUCAGCUGUUCCAUGUUUCUCGAAAUUGAUACCAGCUUCACGGAGUUUCUCAACAGGUUGGAUCAAUUGACGUAAAUCUGAAUCCCCGUCUUUGGGCGAAGGGGUGAAACUGGAGCGAGAAGGGAUGAAACUGGAGCGAAACAAAUCUAGUAAAUGUUUCCCAUCCAGAUUCUCAUGAUUACAUAGGAUUUCAUCAGGCCUCUGUAUCAUCCGAUUAAAGAAUCCUAGGGCGAGUUUUGUCAAGGAGGUAUCUUCUGCUAAAGACAUCUUAGACUUUUCGAACAAACUCUGAAGAACAAAGAAAGGAAUUUGAUUCUCUAGCCUGAGAAGAUCCCUCAUGAUAGAAUACAAUAUCCAUGGCUGAUUGAAUAUAGGAUCAUUGGGAUCAGGCUUGACUUUAUUUCCAUCUUUGAGGAAGAGCUCAAUAAUGAAGCAUCCAUCAAGUACCAGCAUUUCAAUGAAGUCAUGGUCGCUAUAUUUAUCAGUACUCCCUGAAUAGCAUUUCCUCAUCUCCUUUUGCACAUUUGCUAUGGCUUCCCAGAAGUCACCGUAGCAAACACCGUAACACUCUGUUCGAGCAAGAAUAGCAUUAAGAUAUCCACAUUUGUGUUGUUGAAUCAUUUGGAGGUGUUCUCCUCCAUGGUGGUAGGGGCCAAUGGACACUACUUGAGGUUGAAAGGCGUUUUGGUGAAUUUCCGUAAGUUUUUGAGGCACUCGAAAGAUGGAACAAGAGCUCGCUUCCGAACCGGGCACUGGUUGAUUGAAGCGACAGCCAAAAUCUGCUGACAAGGGUACUACAUAUUGCGUCCAAGGCUCAGUAGCAACAGAUGGACCUCGAUA
rnacentral:misc_RNA from 1 species